UCAGAGAGUAUCCAGCGUGUUUUAAUGGCUAUAAAUGGUGGUGAAAUACAGAGUAUACAAAACUGAAUCUGUGCGUGAAUCAAUCGAAUAUCGAACCUUAAAAUCUAUUUAAUAACAUUUUUAUGAUACACGUGGUCCACGCUGUAUCUGGAAAUCGCAUGCAAGUGAAAACACGAAAGGAAGGUCUUUCCAUUAACCGAAUCGAAGGCAGCACACAGGUGUCCACAAUCGGGCAAUUGGAGCUCUCAAAGGAGACGAUCUUCGACCUAGUGAAUCAAGUACAACAACCACGAACUCCCUACCGAGACUCGUUCGUUCCAAUUCAAGUCUCGAUUCAAGAAAAUCAAAAGAAAAGCAGCGAUCCAACGAACGAAAAGAUGGAUAGAGAUAGAAGCAGAGGUAAAAGGAAGAAUAGAAGUUAGAAUGAAAAACGUUGGGAACCGGAAGGUUGGUGGGAUGGCGGAGAGAUCGAAGAACAGCGGAACAUCGAACGGAGGUGAACGCGCGGGACUCGGGAAAUUAGGUUGUUAAGAUUUAAUCGGACACAGAGGCAUUUUAAGCGUCCCGUUGUCCCAUCCUCCGCGCGAUGGGGGUUGGCGUCGCGAGGUUGGCCAGAUUUAAAUUGCACCGGCUCCCUUGAGCCACGCUUUCCCAGUCGCCCUGCCACUCUGUUCCGAGAAGAUAGCGAAGGAUCGUUAAGAUUUCUGCCGGAUUCCGUUCGCCGGAAUUUCAUUUGCGACUUGGCCCCGGUAGCUCACCUUUGCCCGGCCCCCGUAAUUUAAUCGUCGACAAGAUUGCUUGGCUAGGAUUGUUUAAAGAAGAUCCUUGAUGAACGUUUGAAACGGAGCUGUUGCUGCCUCGUCAGGGCGCGUGGGUGUUUUCGCAGGGUCCAUGGAGCGAGGGAUGGCACACGGAUUUCGAGACGGAAGUUUCGGCACGGAUGGGGGAAGCACGUGUUGUUGGAAGUAAUUAGGGGAUCACAUGCUUCGGGAAAUGAGUAAUAUCAAGGGAUAAUGCGAGUAUCGUCGGAGUGUUUGAUGUAAGAUACGACUCGCGUUAGGAUUGUAUCGUGGAUUUUCGAGUAGAAUGGAUAGACGAUUUUACAAGGAUGAUGCGAUACACGUGCGCGACGAGCAGAUUUUUAGAAGAACCACUUGAAAUAAUUACUAAGCUUACGGGAACGAAUUUUUUUUUAGCGAAGAUGGAGGUUUAUGGAAGGACGUGUUGUCGGCCAGGUAAUUGGGAAAUCGCUUGUUAGCGGGAAUAAAUUAUACCGGGACGAUAACAGGGGAUAUUGGAGAGUUUGACGUAAGAUAUAGUUCUUGUUAAGUGACUUUGAGACAGCGUAGCAAGAACUUUGAAGUAGAAUGACGUCGAUGACCUUACUAUGGUUUAGUACAUAAAGUAAAUGUAGGAAAAGUCUGGGAACGAUUUACAGGUCCGCGAAAACGUAGUUUCCGAUGAAAAUGGAAGUUUAACAGUGGGUAGAAAAUGGAAGGACGUAUCGCUAAUCGCAGGUUCGAGGACGCGGCUAAUAUUGCGAGGAUAAUGGAGGAUAUCGUUGAAGUAUGUGACGUAAGAAGAUAUAGUUGGCGUUAGACAACUUUGACGAUGUGCUAAAGAUCUGGAAGAUGGAUGAUGUAGUAUAAUAAUAUGGUAUAUCGUUAUAUUAUGCAAUAAGGUAGAUUUAAAAGAAUAAUAUGGAAAUGUUCACUGUUUGCAGCUUUGUGAAAACAUGCCCUUUGUUGGGAAUGAACGUCUGCGUAUAAAAGAUCGAUUCUUAGUUUUUAAGAAUUAAAGGCAGCUACCUAUAAUUAAAUUCACCUUUAGCCUUGCCAGUUUUUAUAUCUCGAAAUGUAUUUUUUAUGAACCUUAAACGGAUGAAAUUCAAUUAGUCUUCCUAAGA